rnacentral:rRNA from 1 species
UCUAAGCAUGAACUAAACCAAAGUGAAGCCGCGAAUAGCUCAUUACAACAGCCGUUGUUUCUUGGAUCUCCGUAAUACUUGGAUAACUGUGGUAAUUCUAGAGCUAAUACACGCAAUCGAGCUCCGACCGUAAGGGACGAGCGCAUUUAUUAGAACAAAACCAAUCGGUGCUUCGGUGCCGUAGGUUGGUGACUCUGAAUAACUGAGCAGAUCGCAUCGGUCUCGUACCGGCGAUGUAUCUUUCAAGUGUCUGCCUUAUCAACUUUCGAUGGUAGUUUAUGUGCCUACCAUGGUUGCAACGGGUAACGGAGAAUAAGGGUUCGACUCCGGAGAGGGAGCCUGAGAAACGGCUACCACUUCUAAGGAAGGCAGCAGGCGCGCAAAUUACCCACUCUCGGCACGAGGAGGUAGUGACGAAAAAUAACGAGACGGGUCUCAUUUGAGAACCGUCAUCGGAAUGAGAACAAUCCAAA